AUUGAACGCUGGCGGCAGGCCUAACACAUGCAAGUCGAGCGGAUGAAGGGAGCUUGCUCCUGGAUUCAGCGGCGGACGGGUGAGUAAUGCCUAGGAAUCUGCCUGGUAGUGGGGGAUAACGUCCGGAAACGGGUGCUAAUACCGCAUACGUCCUGAGCGAGAAAGUGGGGGAUCUUCGGACCUCACGCUAUCAGAUGAGUCUAGGUCGGUUUAGCUAGUUGGUGGGGUAGAGGCCUUCCAAGGCGACGAUCCGUAACUGGUCUGAGAGGAUGAUAAGUCACACUGGAACUGGAACACGGUCAAUGGUACUGCGGGAGGCAGCAGACGGGAAUAUUGGACAAUGGGCGAAAACAUGGUCCAGCCAGGCCGAGUGUGUGAAGAAGGUCUUGGGAUUGGAAAGCACUUUAAGUUGGGAGAAAGGGCAGUAAGUUAAUACCUUGCUGGUGUGACGGUACCAACAGAAGAAGCACCGGCUAACUUCGUG
rnacentral:rRNA from 1 species